UACAUAUGAUGUAUUCUUAUAUUUGCUACUUCGGAGAAGGUUUACCUUCAAUGAGACAUAUUAUAAUCACCAAGAUCUCUGAUGUA
rnacentral:snoRNA from 1 species